GACUAACGCUAACGGUGUGCUUAAUACAUGCAAGUCGAACGAGCAAUGUGAGAGUGGCAACACUCCUGCAAAGCUAGUUGGCGAACGGGUGAGUAACGCGUAGGUAAUCUACCUUGAAGAUUAGGAUAACCUUCCGAAAGGAAGGCUAAUACUAAAAUUUUAUGUUUUUCGUAUGAUUAAUAUAACAAAGGUAGCCGCAAGGCCUCCGCUUUAAGAUGAACCUGCGUCCUAUGAGCUUGUCGGUAAGGUAAUGGCUUACCAAGGCUAUGAUGGGUAGCCGGCCUGAGAGGGUGAUCGGCCACACUGGGACUGAGAUACGGCCCAGACUCCUACGGGAGGCAGCAGUAGGGAAUAUUGCGCAAUGGGCGAAAGCCUGACGCAGCGACACCGUGUGAAGGAUGAAGGUCUUCGGAUCGUAAACUUCUGUCAAUCGGGGACGAAGGUAAUAAGGUUAAUAGCCUUUAUUAUUGACGGUACCCAAUAAGGAAGUCUCGGCUAACUCCGUGCCAGUAGCCGCGGUAAGACGGAGGAGGCAAGCGUUGUCCGGAAUCAUUGGGCGUAAAGAGCGCGUAGGCGGUUUUUCAAGUCGUAUGUGAAAACUUCAGGCUUAACCUGAUGAUUGCAUAUGAAACUGGAUAACUUGAGUACAGCAGAGGAAAGUGGAAUUCCUGGUGUAGCGGUGAAAUGUGCAGAUAUCAGGAAGAACACCGGUAGCGAAGGCGGCUUUCUGGGCUGUUACUGACGCUGAGGCGCGAAAGCUAGGGGAGCAAACAGGAUUAGAUACCCUGGUAGUCCUAGCCUUAAACGAUGGACACUAGGUGUGGGAAGUUAUCGACGCUUUCUGUGCCGAAGCUAACGCAUUAAGUGUCCCGCCUGGGGAGACGGCCGCAAGGCU
rnacentral:rRNA from 1 species